UAUGGCCAUAUCACUUUGAAUCACAAGUUCUUGUAUGAUCACUGAAGUUAAGCAAUGUCAAGCUUGGUUAGUACCUAGAUGGGUGACCACUUUGGAAUACCAGGUGCUGUAA